rnacentral:rRNA from 1 species
GACAGAGGGUGCGAACGUUGUUCGGAAUUACUGGGCGUAAAGCGCAUGUAGGCGGCAGCGCAAGUCGGGCGUGAAAUCCCACGGCUCAACCGUGGAAGUGCACUCGAAACUGCGCAGCUAGAGUCCUGGAGAGGAAGGUGGAAUGCUUGGUGUAGAGGUGAAAUUCGUAGAUAUCAAGCGGAACACCGGUGGCGAAGGCGGCCUUCUGGACAGUGACUGACGCUGAGAUGCGAAAGCGUGGGGAGCAAACCGG